AUAUCUGGUUGAUCCUGCCAGUAUUAUAUGCUGAUGUUAAAGAUUAAGCCAUGCAUGUGUAAGUUUAAAGACCAAGUAGGAUGAAACUGCGGACGGCUCAUUAUAACAGUAAUAGUUUCUUUGGUUAGUAAGUACAAGGAUAACUUUGUGAAUGAUAAAGCUAAUACUUGAUACGUUCCGGGGAGUAUUUAUACUUCACGGCCAUCAGCCGCGAGGUUGGUGAGGAACGACACUUUUCUGUGAGGAAGGGUGCCGCGACUAUUGAAGAAAGCUACGCUUUUUACAAGUAACCAAUGAGAAUUUCUGAUCUAUCAAUUUGUUGGUAGUAUCGAGGACUACCAAGAUUAUAACGGAUAACGAGGAAUUGGGGUUCGACAUCGGAGAGGGAGCUUUACAGAUGGCUACCACUUCUAAGGAAGGCAGCAGGCGCGUAAAUUACCCACUUUCGACCUGAAGAGGUAGUGACGACAAUUAACUCUGGGGAUGCCUUUUGGUGUCUCUUGAAGGAAUGAUUAAGAAUUAAAUUCUCUUAAGAAAUCAAUUGGAGGGCAAGUCUGGUGCCAGCAGCCGCGGUAAUUCCAGCUCCAAUAGUGUAUAUUAAAGUUGCUGUGAUUAAAACGCUCGUAGUUGAAUUAUAAUGCGUUUAGUAUUUGGAGGCCUUACUCUGUGAGGUUGAAAAGUACACUGAAUAGCGCUUAGGCGAUGCUCACUUGUGGGUAUCAUUACUUUGAAAAAAAUAGGGUGUUUAAAGCAAAUCUUAUGUUAAUGAAUAAUGAAGCAUGGGAUAAUAUUGAGGGGAUCCUUCGGGAUUUCGAGAGAAGGAUUAAUAGGAACAAUUGGGGUGAUUCAGAAAAUAACGGGAGAGGUAAAAUUCCAUGAUCGCUAUAAGAUGCACGAGAGCGAAAGCAUUUCACUCAAUUGCGUUCAUUAAUCAAGAACGAAAGUUAGGGGAUCGAAGACGAUCAGAUACCGUCGUAGUCCUAACUAUAAACGAUGUCAACCAAGGAUUGGGAUUAGUUUUAGGGGAGACAGAAGGCUGAUAUCAUUUGAUAUUAGUCUGAAGGAUCCCGCUUCCACCUUUAUUCAGAACUUAAAGAGAAAUCUUGAGUUUAUGGACUUCAGGGGGAGUAUGGUCACAAGGCUGAAACUUAAAGGAAUUGACGGAAGGGCACACCAGGAGUGGAGCCUGCGGCUUAAUUUGACUCAACACGGGAAAACUUACCAAGACCGAACAGUAUUAGGAAUGACAGAUUAAGGGUUCUUUCAUGAUUUAUUGGGUAGUGGUGCAUGGCCGUUCUUAGUUGGUGGAGUGAUUUGUCAGGUUAAUUCCGGUAACGAACGAGACUGAAACCUAUUAAUUAGUUUCACGCCUAUACGACGUGAAUGUCCGCAAGGAUGGAUGCUUUUGCAUCACUUCUUAAAGGGACUAAUAUCAAUUGUUUCUAGGUUAAUUUGUGCCAUAACUUCGGUUAUGCCUUUUUAAUCAGAAAAAAAGAUAAUGGAAGCAUUCAGCAAUAACAGGUCUGUGAUGCCCUUAGACAUCUUGGGCUGCACGCGCGCUACAAUGGAGAUACUAGCGAGUAUUUGGCGAGAGAGCUUAUUUAUUCGACUCUGUUGGAUGGGUAAGAUUUCUCUCGUUGUACCGACAUUGAAAUAGUAAAGGAAAACUCAAAAGAUCGUACAUGACAGGGAUAAAUGAUUGGAAUUAUUUGUUUUGAACGAGGAAUUCCUUGUAAUAUCGAGUCAUUAGCUCGAGAUGAAUACGUCCCUGCCCUUUGUACACACCGCCCGUCGCUCCUACCGAUUGGAUAUGGAGGUGAAAUUCUAGGACUCUGGCAUUAGUUGGGGAAAUGGAUUUAAAUCUCUUUAUCUAGAGGAAGGAGAAGUCGUAACAAGGUUUCCGUAGGUGAACCUGCGGAAGGAUCAGGAUCCCAAGAGG
rnacentral:rRNA from 1 species